rnacentral:rRNA from 1 species
AUUGAACGCUGGCGGCAGGCCUAACACAUGCAAGUCGAACGGUAACAGGAAGCAGCUUGCUGCUUUGCUGACGAGUGGCGGACGGGUGAGUAAUGUCUGGGAAACUGCCUGAUGGAGGGGGAUAACUACUGGAAACGGUAGCUAAUACCGCAUAACGUCGCAAGACCAAAGAGGGGGACCUUCGGGCCUCUUGCCAUCGGAUGUGCCCAGAUGGGAUUAGCUAGUAGGUGGGGUAACGGCUCACCUAGGCAACGAUCCCUAGCUGGUCUGAGAGGAUGACCAGCCACACUGGAACUGAGACACGGUCCAGACUCCUACGGGAGGCAGCAGUGGGGAAUAUUGCACAAUGGGCGCAAGCCUGAUGCAGCCAUGCCGCGUGUAUGAAGAAGGCCUUCGGGUUGUAAAGUACUUUCAGCGGGGAGGAAGGGAGUAAAGUUAAUACCUUUGCUCAUUGACGUUACCCGCAGAAGAAGCACCGGCUAACUCCGUG